AGGAGGCCUCUCGGUGGCAUGGCACAGGGGCAGAGUUAGGAGGCACCAGGAUUGGAUAGCCUGCGUCCCGUGCACAGCCUGCGGUUGGGGCGAGGCCUGGCCAGGUUGCUUUUGAACUUGAUCUGUUCGCGCUUUGUAAGCCAUACCCCGCACUGAGGAUUGCCCUGCAUCUGAGAGCAUCAGGUCUCUGAAGUCCAGUGUGGAGGUUAAACUGACAGCACCUCUCAAUUUGGACCGGCCACAUUUCAAGUGCUCAAUGCCACAUUUCCCAUAUGGACUGUACAGAUCUAGAGAGGAACGCAUGAUAAAUGGAAAUGAAGCAAGUGGUGUCUGCUGAUCAGAACAGAAAUCAGGGCCAGGGUGAUGGCAGUGGAUGACGCGGGAGCUUCAGAGGUCCCUUUAGGUGUCGCCUAUUUUAAACAGGCUGCGCCUAGCCCAUGGGACAGGAAGUGGCAUCUCCCUCCAGUUGGGGACUAAUAUGAGAGAAG